ACAGAGGCGGCAAGCGUUAUCCGGAUUUACUGGGUGUAAAGCGCGUGCAGGCGGUUUAGCAAGUCGUGCGUGAGAGCGCUCUGGCUCAACCGGGUGAGGACGUGCGGAACUGCUGAACUAGAGGCAGGUAGAGGCGUGUGGAAUUCCGGGUGGAGUGGUGAAAUGCGUAGAGAUCCGGAGGAACACCAGUGGCGAAGGCGAUUCGCUGGGCCUACUCUGACGCUCAGACGCGACAGCAUGGGGAGCGAACGG
rnacentral:rRNA from 1 species